GACGAACGCUGGCGGCGUGCUUAACACAUGCAAGUCGAACGGGCCUGUCUUCUUUUUUGGGGGGUGGGUUGAGUGGCGAACGGGUGAGUAACACGUGAGUAACCUGCCCUUCGGUCCUGGAUAACUGCUUGAAAGGGCGGCUAAUACGGGGUGGUCCGGUUGGUCCGCAUGGGCUGGACGGGAUAGAGUCACUGUUUUUGGUGUUUCGGCGGGGGAUGGGGUCGCGGCCUAUCAGCUUGGUGGCGGGGUGAUGGCAUACCAAGGCGGGGACGGGGAGCCGGGCUGGGGGUGUGGGAGGCCAGAAUGGGACUGCGGUACGGCCCAGAAUGCUGCGGAAGAGAGCGGUAGGGUGUAUUGCGCGAUGGGCGGUAGCCUGAUGCAGCGACGUCGCGUGAGGGAUGGAGGCCUUCGGGUUGUGAACCUCUGUUUCAGGUGGUGAAGGCCCUGUCCGUGUGGUGGGGUUGACGGUAGCCGGGGAUGAAGCGCCGGCUAACUACGUG
rnacentral:rRNA from 1 species